rnacentral:rRNA from 1 species
AUUGAACGCUGGCGGCAGGCCUAACACAUGCAAGUCGAGCGAGCGGCGGACGGGUGAGUAAUGUAUGGGGACUGCCCGAUAGAGGGGGAUAACUACUGGGAACGGUGGCUAAUACCGCCUCCUAACGGCUACCCCAUAUGGGAUUAGCUAGGAGGUGGGGUAAAGGCUAACCUAGGCGACGAUCUCUAGCUGUUCUGAGAGGAUGAUAAGCCACACUGGGCCUGAGACACUGCCCAGACGCCUACGGAGGCAGCAGUGGGUAAUAUUGCACAAUGGGCGCAAGCCUGAUGCAGCCAUGCCGCGUGUAUGAAGAAGGCCUUAGGGUUGUAAAGUACUUUCAGCGGGGAGGCGUUACCCGCAGAAGAAGCACCGGCUAACUCCGUGCCAGCAGCCGCGGUAAUAC